GAUGAACGCUAGCGGCAGGCUUAAUACAUGCAAGUCGAGGGGCAGCAUGAAUGUAGCAAUACAUUUGAUGGCGACCGGCAAACGGGUGCGGAACACGUACACAACCUUCCUAUAAGUGGGGAAUAGCCCAGAGAAAUUUGGAUUAAUACCCCGUAACAUAAUGAUGUGGCAUCACAUUAUUAUCAUAGCUACGGCGCUUAUUGAUGGGUGUGCGGCUGAUUAGAUAGUUGGCGGGGUAACGGCCCACCAAGUCUACGAUCAGUAGCUGAUGUGAGAGCAUGAUCAGCCACACGGGCACUGAGACACGGGCCCGACUCCUACGGGAGGCAGCAGUAAGGAAUAUUGGUCAAUGGACGCAAGUCUGAACCAGCCAUGCCGCGUGAAGGAUUAAGGUCCUCUGGAUUGUAAACUUCUUUUAUCUGGGACGAAAAAAGGCGAUUCCUCGUCACUUGACGGUACCAGAUGAAUAAGCACCGGCUAACUCCGUGCCAGCCGCCGCGGUAAUAC
rnacentral:rRNA from 1 species